AACGAACGCUGGCGGCAUGCCUAACACAUGCAAGUCGAACGAGACCUUCGGGUCUAGUGGCGCACGGGUGCGUAACGCGUGGGAACCUGCCCUUAGGCUCGGAAUAACUCCCCGAAGGGGGUGCUAAUACCGGAUAAUGUCUUCGGACCAAAGAUUUAUCGACUUUGGAUGGGCCCGCGUUGGUUUAGCUAGGUGGUAGGGUAAAAGCCUACCAAGGCGACGAUCCAUAGCUGGUCUGAGAGAAUGGUCAGCCACACUGGGACUGAGACACGGCCCAGAAUCCUACGGGAGGGAGCAGUGGGGAAUAUUGGAAAAUGGGCGAAAGCCUGAUCCAGCAAGGCCGCGUGAGUGAUGAAGGCCUUAGGGUUGUAAAGCUCUUUUACCCGGGAUGAUACUGACAGUACCGGGAGAAUAAGCUCCGGCUAACUCCGUG
rnacentral:rRNA from 1 species